UGCAUCGGCCGGAAAUCGAACCCAGACGCCCGUGUGGAAGACGCGGAUUCUACCACUGACCACCGAUGC
rnacentral:tRNA from 1 species